rnacentral:tRNA from 1 species
AGAAGUUUAGGUUAUAUAGACCAGGAGCCUUCAAAGCCCCAAGAAAAUAUUAUUAAUUUAACUUCUG